rnacentral:rRNA from 1 species
GCAAGUCGAGGGGUAACAGGGAGCUUGCUCCGCUGAUGACCGGCGCACGGGUGCGGACCGCGUAUGGAACCUACCUUGUACAGGGGAAUAGCCUUUGGAUACGAAGAUUAAUGCCACGUGGUACCACGCCCCGGCAUCGGGAUGUGGUUAAAGCCUUCGGGCGGUACAAGAUGGCCAUGCGUCCCAUUAGCUUGUUGGUAAGGUAACGGCUUACCAAGGCUACGAUGGGUAGGGGCCUGAGAGGGGGAUC